rnacentral:rRNA from 1 species
CGGACGGGUGAGUAACGCGUGGAGAACCUGCCGUAGUACUGGGGGAUAACACUUAGAAAUAGGUGCUAAUACCGCAUAAGCGCACAGCUUCGCAUGAAGCAGUGUGAAAAACUCCGGUGGUAUACGAUGGAUCCGCGUCUGAUUAGCUGGUUGGCGGGGUAAAGGCCCACCAAGGCGACGAUCAGUAGCCGGCCUGAGAGGGUGAACCGGCCACAUUGGGACUGAGACACGGCCCAAACUCCUACGGGAGGCAGCAG